rnacentral:rRNA from 1 species
GUAGGUGGCAAGCGUUGUCCGGAAUUAUUGGGCUUAAAGCGCGCGCAGGGCGGUCCUUUAAGUCUGAUGUGAAAGCCCACGGCUCAACCGUGGAGGGUCAUUGGAAACUGGGGGACUUGAGUACAGAAGAGGAAAGCGGAAUUCCAAGUGUAGCGGUGAAAUGCGUAGAGAUUUGGAGGAACACCAGUGGCGAAGGCGGCUUUCUGGUCUGUAACUGACGCUGAGGCGCGAAAGCGUGGGGAGCAAACAGGAUUAGAUACCCUGGUAGUCCACGCCGUAAACGGUGAGUGCUAAGUGUUAGGGGGUUUCCGCCCCUUAGUGCUGCAGCUAACGCAUUAAGCACUCCGCCUGGGGAGUACGGCCGCAAAGGCUG